UUUGCUUGAAGUUUACAUUUUUUACAUUUUUCCUAUUUUCAUUUUCAUUUUUAUUAGUUUUGGGUCUUUUAAAAAUUUAAAUUGUAAUGUAAUCAGCCUAAUAUUACAUUUUACUUGUUGACAAUUUAGUUAAAAUGUAGUAGUAUGUUUUUCGUGAAAAACUGGUAAAACUCUUCAAGAAAAAUCUAAAGGACAUAAAAGCUAUUGAAAACUUAAGAGCCCUAUACUUUUUGGACCAGAUCCGUAUACAGGGUGAAUCAUUAUGAGCGAAUAAAACUCCAUUAAAAGUACCGAAAAAUGCGUUUUUCUUAACGAAGUCCAUUUUCCUCGAUUUUUUUCGUUAAACGUCACCAUAAGGAAAUGAUCCAAUAUGGCCGCCAACAGCAGUGGAAAUCACCCGGAAGCGUAUUUACCAAAGCGUAUUAUUUACCAACCCCAUCCUGACUCAGCGCACCCAGGCCGCCGAUCGGAGCCGAAUUCAUUCGCUCCAUACCCCAUCCCGUUUCAGCGCGCAUCUCCGAAACCCAUCCCGACUCAGCACACCGCCGCACCUGUUUAUGAAGAUGUCGCUUUGCGCGGGAAAAACACUAACUUAAUAUUAUUGUUUUGGUUCAUUAUUUGCUUGAAGCAACACGUGGCGCUGUAUUUAUUGCUUGGUUGCGUGGUUGUAAAACUGGAGAACGUAGGUGGAUCGAGAGAGAAAUUUACGGCCAAUUUAAGGACCAUUUUUAAAGACAAUUUCUCCACUAUGGCCGAUGAAUGGAUAGCCCAGUUCUCAGAAACAAGUCAUUCCAACUGGGUUGUUUGGAAAUUCUUCAUCCGAGUCGCAUCUUAUACAAAAAAAUAUUUAAAUGUUAACAUAAUGCCGUUAAUAAAGCAAAAAAUGUAAAGAAGUGUCGAAAAAGAAAUCUUGAGUGUUCUGCAUCAGUAACUUUUAUUGUUAAAAAAAUUACCAAAGACACUAUUAAAAAUGACUGCUACCUUAAG
rnacentral:lncRNA from 1 species